GCUUCGGUGGUCUGGUGGUCAGAGCGGUUGCCUCCGAUGCAGAAGGUCGCGAGUUCGAACCCUGCCCGAGUCA